UACGGAGGAUGCAAGCGUUAUCCGGAUUCAUUGGGUUUAAAGGGUGCGUAGGCGGGCUAUUAAGUCAGUGGUGAAAUCCUGCAGCUUAACUGCAGAACUGCCGUUGAUACUGAUAGUCUUGAGUUUGGUUAAGGUAGGCGGAAUGUGUAAUGUAGCGGUGAAAUGCUUAGAUAUUACACAGAACACCAAUUGCGUAGGCAGCUUACUUAGCCGACACUGACGCUGAGGCACGAAAGCGUGGGGAUCAAACAGGAUUA
rnacentral:rRNA from 1 species